rnacentral:rRNA from 1 species
GAUGAACGCUAGCGGCAGGCCUAAUACAUGCAAGUCGAACGGUGUAGCAAUACACAGUGGCGCACGGGUGCGUAACACGUAUGCAACCUACCUAUUAUUGGGGGAUAGCCUUUGGAAACGGAGAUUAAUACCGCAUAAGACAGUGACAUGGCAUCAUGUAGCUGUUAAAGCUUUGGCGAUAAUAGAUGGGCAUGCGUCCAAUUAGUUAGUUGGUGAGGUAAUGGCUCACCAAGACGAUGAUUGGUAGGGGAUCUGAGAGGAUAAUCCCCCACACUGGCACUGAGGUACGGGCCAGACUCCUACGGGAGGCAGCAGUAGGGAAUAUUGGGCAAUGGACGGAAGUCUGACCCAGCCAUGCCGCGUGCAGGAUGACGGCGUUAUGCGUUGUAAACUGCUUUUUUAUAGGAAGAAGAAGCCCUUGCGAGGGAAAGUGACGGUACUAUAAGAAUAAGCACCGGCUAACUCCGUGCCAGCCGCCGCUGUAAAAC